rnacentral:rRNA from 1 species
GAUGAACGCUGGCGGCGUGCCUAAUACAUGCAAGUCGAGCGAAUGGACGAGAAGCUUGCUUCUCUGAUGUUAGCGGCGGACGGGUGAGUAACACGUGGAUAACCUACCUAUAAGACUGGGAUAACUUCGGGAAACCGGAGCUAAUACCGGAUAAUAUUUUGAACCGCAUGGUUCAAAAGUGAAAGACGGUCUUGCUGUCACUUAUAGAUGGAUCCGCGCUGCAUUAGCUAGUUGGUAAGGUAACGGCUUACCAAGGCAACGAUGCAUAGCCGACCUGAGAGGGUGAUCGGCCACACUGGAACUGAGACACGGCCCAGACUCCUACGGGAGGCAGCAGUAGGGAAUCUUCCGCAAAGGGCGAAAGCCUGACGGAGCAACGCCGCGUGAGUGAUGAAGGUCUUCGGAUCGUAAAACUCUGUUAUUAGGGAAGAACAUAUGUGUAAGUAACUGUGCACAUCUUGACGGUACCUAAUCAGAAAGCCACGGCUAACUACGUG